AGGGAUGCUCUGGAAUUAUAAUAGAUGUAUGCGUGAGCAGCCUGGCAAGAAUCAUUUUCAAACACCCUGCAUCCCUGGUGUCAGGGGAGGUGAUCCAGGAGACCACAUCUGAGCUGCCGUGCAGGGUCGCCCUCCAACAUUACUGCCCAUGUCUGCAGCCCGUGACUACGAAGUCUUUGUUCCUGUGAACUUGGCUGCCAUGUGUGAUUCUGACUGACGACAGAGAGGAGCCCUGGGCUCGGGUGGCAGGUGCAAGCUUCAGGGAAGUACGCAUUAUUCACAAUAGCCAAGAUAUGGAAGUAAUCCAGACAUCCAUCAACAGAAGAACAGAUUAAGAAAAUGUGGAGCUUUUAAUUACUUGAGAUGACAAUUUUUAUGUAUCUUUCCCUUCACAAAUGGACACUGGAUUUCUUUAUGCCAUCCAUCCCCCUACCUAGGACACUGUCUCCAAGUUACAGGUCUGAAGUGAAGCAGGUGAAUCUACAGUUUUCAAAAGCUCACCAGCUGAGUCUACUGCACUUCUAGAGCUGGAAUCAGGAGUCGGGCUCAGCAGUUCAUGUUGUAGUAAGCUAGGACACACACCGCAGGUGACUGAAGUGAGAGGGGCUGCUCUGGCCUGUGUGUUUUCAAGAUGGCAAACCUGCUUGCCUAGGUGGCACUGGAGUCUGGAGACAGCAGGAAGAGAGACCACAUUCACGUUGUUCAGACAACCUGUCCGCAAGGCCCAAGGAGCUCUGCUAUUAAGCAGUGAGCACUCUGGCCCCCUUUCGCUGCCUGCAUUGGACACGAUGGAACUAGAAGCUUCUGAAAGCAGAUGAAAGACUCCAAACCUCAGAAGCCAUUUCUACGACACCCUCCUGAGUUGAAUCCUGUGACAAGAGCAGAGAAAGUGUGUCUAGCAAAGAAAAUUGUUUAACACAAAGUUGGGAAACUGUAGGUCAUUUAGGACAAGUUCAUAUUGUCAAAUUUGGUUGAAAUAUAUUGGUGGGCAA